rnacentral:lncRNA from 1 species
GGGGACAUAAAACACCGCAACAUCGUCACCCUUCAUGGAUAUUACACUGCUCCAAACUAUAAUCUUCUCAUAUAUGAACUGGUGCCUAAUGGAAGUUUGGAUGCAGUCCUGCAUGGUAUGCACAUAUGCACUCAAAUUUUACAAAAAUGCAAAAUUUCCAUUUGUCUAUGGUGAUCAUCUGGUAAAUUACGAUGCAGGAAGAUCAACGGACAAGAUGCUUUUGGAUUGGCCUACCAGAUACAAAAUAGCACUAGGUGCAGCAAGAGGAAUAUCGUACCUUCAUCACGAUUGCAUCCCUCACAUAAUCCACAGAGAUAUCAAAUCAAGCAACAUCUUGUUGGAUCAAAACAUGGAGGCUCGAGUGUCUGAUUUCG